rnacentral:misc_RNA from 1 species
CUCCGUGCUCGCGCAUCGAACGGUCGACACGCUAUCCACCUCAGUCGGUCCCCCGAAGCUACCACAAGCCUCGAGAGGGAGUUGCCGCAUCCUCGGCGGUAGUUGCCUGCGUUGAGUACCCGUCCGCCCCCCUCGGAAGGGGGGAACGGAUCGGCCCGACAUCGUCCCACGUCCGUCCGGCGCGCCUCGCAAGGGGCUCUCUCGGAGGACCACGAAGCAGCCCCCGCGAUCCACGCAAGUCGGCUCGACCGGCGAGCUUGGCCCGCGGGACGCUGUUGCUCUCUCGGAUGCGGUGCAUGCCGAGGACUCCCGGGGCCCCGAUCCCCGCACGUCCCGAACGAACGAUCCGACUCGAUUCUCCCGAGAGACGCUCGCGUCCGGCGCCCGCAAGGCCCGGCGCGCGAGACGUCGCGGAGGGUUGCUACCUGGUUGAUCCUGCCAG